rnacentral:misc_RNA from 1 species
UUGAGGAUCAGUUGGAGUUGCUCCAGUUGU